AUGGCGACCGGCGCACGGGUGCGUAACGCGUAUGCAACCUACCUGUAACAGGGGGAUAACACUGAGAAAUCGGUACUAAUACCGCAUAACACUAUGAGAGGCAUCUCUUUUGGUUGAAAGUUUCGGCGGUUACAGAUUGGCAUGCGUUGUAUUAGCUGGUUGGUAAGGUAACGGCUUACCAAGGCGACGAUACAUAGGGGGACUGAGAGGUUAACCCCCCACAUUGGUACUGAGACACGGACCAAACUCCUACGGGAGGCAGCAG
rnacentral:rRNA from 1 species